UCGAGCGCGCCCUUCGGGGUGAGCGGCGGACGGGUGAGUAACGCGUGGGAAUAUGCCCUUCUCUAAGGAAUAGCCUCUGGAAACGGAGAGUAAUACCUUAUACGCCCUUUUGGGGAAAGAUUUAUCGGAGAAGGAUUAGCCCGCGUUAGAUUAGGUAGUUGGUGGGGUAACGGCCUACCAAGCCUACGAUCUAUAGCUGGUUUUAGAGGAUGAUCAGCCACACUGGGACUGAGACACGGCCCAGACUCCUACGGGAGGCAGCAGUAGGGAAUCUUGGACAAUGGGGGAAACCCUGAUCCAGCCAUGCCGCGUGAGUGAAGAAGGCCUUAGGGUCGUAAAGCUCUUUCGCCUGUGAUGAUAAUGACAGUAGCAGGUAAAGAAACCCCGGCUAACCCCGUGCCAGCAGCCGCGGUAAUACGGAGGGGGUUAGCGUUGUUCGGAAUUACUGGGCGUAAAGCGCGCGUAGGCGGAUUGGAAAGUUGGGGGUGAAAUCCCGGGGCUCAACCCCGGAACUGCCUCCAAAACUGCCAGUCUAGAGUUCGAGAGAGGUGAGUGGAACUCCAAGUGUAGAGGUGAAAUUCGUAGAUAUUUGGAAGAACACCAGUGGCGAAGGCGGCUCACUGGCUCGAUACUGACGCUGAGGUGCGAAAGUGUGGGGAGCAAACAGGAUUAGAU
rnacentral:rRNA from 1 species